UACGUAGGGGGCUAGCGUUGUCCGGAAUCAUUGGGCGUAAAGCGCGUGUAGGCGGUCCGGUAAGUCCGCUGUGAAAGUCGGGGGCUCAACCCUCGGAUGCCGGUGGAUACUGUCGGGCUUGAGUACGGAAGAGGCGAGUGGAAUUCCUGGUGUAGCGGUGAAAUCGCGCAGAUAUCAGGAGGAACACCAAUUGCGAAGGCAGCUCGCUGGGACGUUACUGACGCUGAGACGCGAAGCGUGGGGAGCAAACAGG
rnacentral:rRNA from 1 species